UGGAUCAGUGAUGACCACUGAUGAUGAUUGAUCCGUGGAGCAUGACUACAGGUCUGAGUGUCUGAGCUUCAC
ensembl:snoRNA Gm55111 predicted gene, 23600